rnacentral:rRNA from 1 species
AUUGGACGCUGGCGGCAUGCCUUACACAUGCAAGUCGAACGGCAGCACGGGGGCAACCCUGGUGGCGAGUGGCGAACGGGUGAGUAAUACAUCGGAACGUGUCCUGUAGUGGGGGAUAGCCCGGCGAAAGCCGGAUUAAUACCGCAUACGACCUGAGGGAGAAAGCGGGGGAUCUCCGGACCUCGCGCUAUAGGGGCGGGCGAUGGCAGAUUAGCUAGUUGGUGGGGUAAAGGCCUACCAAGGCGACGAUCUGUAGCUGGUCUGAGAGGACGACCAGCCACACUGGGACUGAGACACGGCCCAGACUCCUACGGGAGGCAGCAGUGGGGAAUUUUGGACAAUGGGGGCAACCCUGAUCCAGCAAUGCCGCGUGUGUGAAGAAGGCCUUCGGGUUGUAAAGCACUUUUGUCCGGAAAGAAAACUUCGUCCCUAAUAUGGAUGGAGGAUGACGGUACCGGAAGAAUAAGCACCGGCUAACUACGUGCCAGCAGCCGCCGUAG